GCCACUAGGAAAAUUCAAAUUAAAACAAUGAUGAGUCAAAUUAAUGCCAUGGUGACACAUGCCUAUAAUCCUAGCAAUUUGAGAGGAUGAAGCAGAAGGAUCACAAGUUUGAGGCCAAACUCAGCAAGAUCCUGUCUCAAAAUAAAACAUACAAAGGGCUGGAGAUGUAGCUCAGUAGUAAAGCAGCCCUGAAUUCAAUCCCCAGUAUAAAAAAAAGUGAUAAAACAUUAUAUUCCACCUAUUAGAACAACUAAAAUUAAAACAGAGAUGAUACCAAAUACUAAUGAGGAUAGAUUUCUUAUAUAUUACUGGUGGGAAUGUAAAAUGGUACAAACACAAUAACUCUGCAAAAUUGUUUGGCAAUCUGUUAUAAAACAUACAUUUACCAUAUGACUUAGUGAUCAUCCCCCUGAGCAUUUAUCCUAAGAAAUGAAAUCCUGUCCACACACAUGCAUAAAUGUAUACAGUGGUUCAUCAUGGUUUUAUUUCUUACAGCCCCAAACUGGAAACAACCAAUAUGCUCUUCAACAAGUGGUACAUUCACAUCAUGAACACCACUCAGAGAUAAAAACAAAUGAAUUACUGACACAUUCAACAACUUAGAUGGAUCUCAAGAGCAUUACAUUGAGCCAGUCUCAAAAGUAUAUAUAUACUGUUUCCAUUUGUAUAAUGUUCUUGAAAGGAAGAUGAAGAACAGAUUGGUUGCCAGGGAUUACUUUUGGGGGACGGAGAUGUGACUAAAAAGAGCAGUAGAAGGGAUUCCCAUAGAGGUGAUGAAAUAGGUCUGUAACUGGAUGUGGUGGUGGUUAUAUAACUCUAUACAUGUGAUGAAGUUGCAUAGAUCUUCACACAUGUACAAAUGAGUAAAUGUAAACACUGGUGAAAUCUGAAAAAAAAAAAUAGCCUAUAGAUUGCAACAAUGUCAAUUCCUGGUUUAAAUAUUGCAUUGCAGUUGUUCCCACUGGAAAGAGCUUGGAGAAGUGUACGGGGAAAUAUAAGAGUACUACCUUUACAACUUCCUGUGAAUCUAUAGUUAUUUCAAAAUUAAAAAAAAUUAAAAUUAAAAAGCACAUAAAAGGCCAGAGUGUCUCACAAACAGUAAG
rnacentral:lncRNA from 1 species